GCCAAGAUUUCAGUCAAUAAGCAGAGCCUUGGGACAUGAGCGGGGUUUGCGCUCUUGGAGCUGGAGCGAGUGGCCAGUCUCCCUGUCAAUCGUCGCAGAGCCGCCAAUGACGACGUGUGAAGGCGGGGCCAAAGGAACGCUGUCCAGGGAAGCGAAACGCUUGACCGGGCUCUUUAAAAUGUGGAUUGUGCAGCGCGGCUUCCGUGGACCGUUCCCCUGCGGGAUGGGGGAACAUGGCGGCUCCGUCUCCUGCUGUCCCCAAAGUUUGUGCUGGGCUGUCCACCCAAAGUCAAGUCUCCUUGCAGAUUUCUACCAUCACCAUCCCCUUCAGGACCUGUGAUGGCAAAGUCCAGUCCAGGUCAUCCUGUGGGCCUGUACGGAGAAGAGAGUGGAACUGGAACCAACAGUCAAGAGCAGGCAGACAAAUGUUGCUGAGACCAGACGUUGUGUUUCGUGGACAAUAGAUUUCUGGUAUCUGAGUGAGAAAGACCCUUGGCCCUCUCUAGCUCUCAUAUUUGAGCUUGAGUUUCCACAGAUGGAGACGGGGAACACACCUUGCUAUCAGGACCAGCAAAUUUCCUCAGCGAUUGCUUCAAUCUCUCUAGAAACCAACUUCUCUACUUCUCCUGUGAUGCCGGGGAAAGCCGGGCAAUUCGGACUUUGCCUUCUCUGAGCUGCAGUCUUUCUGGCCAACAUGGACAGCUUUCGUCAAAGCUGACAUGGCUCAGCACCAAGUUCAGGCUGGAGGCUUCUUGUUCACUGGCAGUGCCACCAAGAUCUCCUCUGUUCCCUGUCUGUAUAAAGUCACUUGUUUUCUGGGGGGUGGUUAAUUUGUUGAAACUUAAGUGAAGAGUUUGGGUAAUUGGGAGGGAGUUCUUGAUACAAAUCUGCACUAGGUAAGGUGCGUUCCAAGACGCUUCUGCCCUUUAGUCUCAUGGAUGGCUCUGGUUCCCGGUUCCUCUAUUGCUUUAUUGGCACAGGUUUCAUCCAGAAGGUCGCAUCACAGAAGCUGAAGUUCACUCACCAAGGGUGAAAACAAUCCACAUUUCUUUGUGAGUAGAGACUAAAGUAUUUUGCCUUUAUGCAGCCCACUGACACUUCAAAGUCAUUAUUGAUCCUUCUGAUUGGUUGGAUCACAUAGGAUUUGCAGAAGAUAGGGGUCAUUAUGUUGUCUGCCCAGUGAAAACCUGGGACCUGAGAUACUUAGAAAUACCUGUGCUCAAGCCCAUGUUCCUUCACCAAGUGACAUGACAGUGACCAUCACUGGCCUGGUUGCUAGUCAAAAACUCAACUUGUGAAACUUAACCGUAACUGUGAUGCCUUCUUCCCCUUCCACAUACACUAGGGCCCACUGCCCAGGACAUUCAUUUGAGGUCACUUCACGGCGGGAGGGGUGCAAAAGACCUAGAUGAAUGGUUUCAGGGUCAAUCUGCUGAGUAUUGGCACUUAAAAACAAGUGACGGCUUUGAGGAUUCCAAAAGAGUGACUCUAAUUGAUGACAUUCUCAAAAUCAAGACUCUCGGGGAAAGAGAAGCUGACCCUCCUCAGACUGUAAGGUGGGAUCGGGUUCUCUCCCAGGAGUUCGUUCUGAGGCGAGCCAUGUCACUCACCCAGUGAGAUAUGUACUCAUGAAUGUCUGCUCACUCCUGGGAAUGUUAAUGUGCUGUAGCUUUUGGUGUGAAGUAUUCCAUGUCAAAGUCGCGUUUGGCGUAUGUAUUUUUUCAUUCCUCUUGUUGCUGUGGGGGUUGGAAAGAGAAGGGAUUAUAUUGGACCCCUUAAGGGUAGGCUCCUGAAAUGGAGUGUAUUCCUUGUUAUACUGGUUCCCUGUUCUCUGCAAAAUGGCUAUGGCGGAAUAGUAUUCCAUUGUAUGUAUGUACCACAUUUUCUUUACCCACUGAUCUGUUGAUGGACACUGAGCCUGUUCCGUGUGUCGGCUGUUGUGAAGAGUGUGCCAUUGAACACCGGGGUGCAGACACGGCUUUGAGACAGUGAUUUCGUUUCCAUUGGCUGUACACCCAGGGGUGGGAUUGCCGGAUCAUGGGGUGGCUCUCCUUUUACUUCUUGAGGAACUUGCAUACUGUUUUCCAUUGUGGCUGAAGCAGUUUACAUGGGGGAACACUUCUUGAACUAAAGAGAUUUCAUGACUGGUUCUCCAGCCACUUCUGAUUGUCUGUUCUCUUGAGGAGAAGAAUGAUGGAGGUUGGAGGCUCUGGUGGGGAAGGGGGUUCUGUGAUCAGGAAAGAUGGAAGGACUAACUCCUUGCUUCUGGUGCUUGAAGCCUAGAGCUGGGAAGGGGGCUGGACAGAGUGUCCUCUGUAGAGCUCUCAGAGCAGGAGGACAAAGCAGAGAGGAGGAUAUGCUCCCUCAGUGUCAAAGGCGUGUUGGCCUCCGUAUGUUCCAGAGUGCCUCCUGCCCGCUUGCCCAUCCCUGGCACUACCAGUGAUCAGCAUGGCUGGAGGAUAAAAGAUAACAAUGCAGAUGGUUGAGUGUGACAUGAGAACAUACGGCCCUCUGGCCAAGAUGAAAUUUUGAUGAUGGGGACUGUUGCUGACUUGUGCAAUAGGAGUAUUUUGGACUUUGCUGCUGAGGAAUGCUUUGCUGUUUCUGCCUGAUUCUGUGCACUGACUUAGCCUGUGAAUAAUGGCUCGAGGAACAUUGGCUCUUUGCCCUCCUACGUUGUUGUGUAGAACAUUAACAUGAGGGAGUCUUCUGAGAGAGAACUGCUGUUGUCUCUGGGGAAUAAUCGCUCUUGGUUGAGGUGCCCAGUCACUCUUUCGU